rnacentral:rRNA from 1 species
AUUGAACGCUGGCGGCAGGCCUAACACAUGCAAGUAGAACGAGUGGCGGACGGGAGAGUCAUGUCUGGGAAACUGCCUGAUGGAGGGGGAUAACCACUGGAAACGGUAGCUAAUACAGCAUACCAUAUGAUGUGCCCAGAUGGGAUUAGCUUGUUGGUGGGGUAACGGCGCACCAAGGCGACGAUCCCUAGCUGGUCUGAGAGGAUGACCAGCCGCACUGGAACGGAGACACGUUCCAGACUCCUCCUGGAGGCGGCAGUGGAGAAUAUUGCACCAUGGGCGCAAUCCUGAUGCAGCCAUGCCGCGUGUAUGAAGAAGGCCUUCGGGUUGUAAAGUACUUUCAGCGGGAAGGCGUUACCCGCGCAAAAGGCACCGGCUAACUCCGUGCCAGCGGCCGCGGUGAUAC